CCUACGGGAGGCAGCAGUGGGGAAUAUUGCACAAUGGGGGAAACCCUGAUGCAGCGACGCCGCGUGAGUGAAGAAGUAUUUCGGUAUGUAAAGCUCUAUCAGCAGGGAAGAAAAUGAUGGUACCUGAGUAAGAAGCCCCGGCUAACUACGUGCCAGCAGCCGCGGUAAUACGUAGGGGGCAAGCGUUAUCCGGAUUUACUGGGUGUAAAGGGAGCGUAGACGGCAGCACAAGUCUGGAGUGAAAGGCCGGGGCUUAACCCCGGAACUGCGUUGGAAACUGUGCAGCUAGAGUGCAGGAGAGGUAAGUGGAAUUCCUAGUGUAGAGGUGAAAUGCGUAGAUAUUAGGAAGAACACCAGUGGCGAAGGCAGCUUACUGGACUGUAACUGACGUUGAGGCUCGAAAGCGUGGGGAGCAAACAGGAUUAGAUACCCCAGUAGUC
rnacentral:rRNA from 1 species